AGGAAAGGAGCUUCCCAGCUGUGGUCUUGGCCCCUGUACCAAGGGGGCAGCGAGGCUUGAUGAAUAAAAACCCAGGGUGGACCAAGCGCGGUGGCUCACGCCUGUAAUCCCAGCACUCUGGGAGGCCAAGACGGGCGGAUCACUUGAGGACAGGAGUUCAAGACGAGCCUGACUGACAUGGUGAAACCCCAUCUCUACUAAAAAUACAAAAAUUAGCUGGGUGUGGUGGUGGGCGCCUGUAAUCCCAGCUGCUCCAGAGGCUGAGGCAGGAGAGUUGCUUGAACCCGGGAGGUGGAGGUUGCAGUGAGCUGAGAUCACGCCAUUGCACUCCAGCCUAGGUGACCGAGCGAGACUCUGUCUCAGAAAAAAAAAAAAAAAAAAAACCCAGGAUGCAGCUGGACGUGGUAGCUCAUGCCUGUAAUCUCACUGCUUUGGGAGGCCAAGGCAGGCAGAUCACCUGAGCCCAGGAGUUCAAGACCACCCUGGGCAACAUGGCAAGACCCUGUCUCUAAAAAAAAAAAAAAAAAAACCAAAAAAUUAGCGGGCCAUGGUGGCACAUGACUGUAGUCCCAGCUACUUGGGCGGCUGAGGAAGGAAGAUUGCUUGAGCCUGGGAGAUCGAGAGGUCGGGGCUGCAGCAAGCCAAGAUCACACUACUGCACUCCAGCCUGGGAGACAGAGUCUCACUCUGUCUCCAAAACAAAACAAAACAGAAACAGGCUCCAUCCAGGAAGCAGACCAUCCAGGGAAGAGAGUGGGGGCUCUGCCACUUAGCAGCUGUCGGGCUCUGGGCAAGUCACUUAAUCGCUCUGUGCCUCAGUUUACUCGUGUAAAAUCGGGGUGCUCCCUGCACCUACCUCCUCCAGUCCUUCUGUGAGUGAAGGAGCUGAUGCUUGUAAGUGGCCUAGACCAGAACCAAGCUGGGGCGAGCCAAGGGAGAUGGUGAACACCUGGGGGUCUGACCCUCAUGAGGAUUUGAAGUGAACUGUACUACCUGCAGCCCAUGGAGCGCACAGCAGGGAGGAGCAGCAGGGAGGGACAGGAAGACAAUGGGGACCUUUCAGAGCGGAGGAGUCAGCAUGAGUCCCGCAGGAGAACAGUAAUCAUAGUGAAAACAACAGCAGCAUCAUUUGCUAGUUCCUGAAAGCGACUGCCUGCCCAGCUUGGCAGAACAUUGCUUCGUUCAGCCUCACAGCAGACCCUACGAGGGAGGCAUCAUGGGCCCAUUUUAUAGACAAGGAAACUGAGGCCAUGCAAAGGAAUUGCUUGCCCAGGGUCACACUGCAAUUAAGCAGAGAAGCCAGCAUUCCAUCCAACACCUGCCAAUUAAGGGGGUCACAGUCCCCAGGAGAAAUAAACUGCCUAAGAAUGACAGGUGACACCGACACUGACUGACAAGGCUACCUUGGCACUUUAUGGGUGUUUGGGGACCCUCACAAGAGCCUUACCAAGUAGGUACUGAUAUGAACCCACUUAAUAGAGGGGAAAACCAAGGCCCCAAGCAAGUCCCCUGUCCACAGCCAUUCAGCCAGCAAAUAGCAGAACUGGGAUUAGAACCAACAGGCAGGGCCCAGAGCCCACGCUCCUGACCUCCACACCAGGUGGCAAGCACAUGACGCAGGCCAUAAGCAGGAGGAAGAGGCAAGGAGGUCAUCAGACACAAGGAGGUCACCUGAGGCAAAGACACGUGCAGCCUGGAGAUGCUGCCUGGGCGACAGGUGGGAUCACAUUGAAGAGGAGAGAAAGAGAACAACUUUCUUCAAGGUGCAGCAUGAGGGGCCGGGCACGGUGGCUCACGCCUGUAAUCCCAGCACAUUGGGAGGCCAAGGCGGGAGGAGUGCUUGAACAGGAUUUCAAGACCAGCCUGGGCAACACAGUGAGACCUCGUCUUUACCAAAAAUAUUAAAACUCCCUGGGCGUGGUGGCGUGCACCUGUAGUCCCAGCUACUGGGGAGGCUGAGAUGCGAGGCUCACUUGAGCCCAGGAAGGAUAAUGCUGCAGUGAAAAGUGAUGGCGCCACUGCACUCCAGCCUGGGUGACACAGCAAGAUUCUGUCUCAAAAAAAUAAAAAAAGAUGCAACGUGCAACAUCAAAGGUGCUCCGUAAGAGCUACCAAAAGACAAAUCACUGGCCCUUGAUCUAGCAAUCCCACUUCCAGGAGUCUAUCCCACAGGCGUACUCAUUUCCCUGUAACAUGUGCGGACGUAUGCCUUCCCAUGCUUCACACAGAAACCUUUGGAAACACCUCCACGUCCAUAACAGUAAAGGAGGAUUCACCCACACAGAGGAAUACCAUGCAGCCAAGAAAAAGAUAGAGGAAGACCUACAUUGGUAGGGUCUCCCAGGGAGAUGAAGCGUGGAAAAAAAGCAAUGCAUAGACCAGACUACCAUCUGUGUAAGAUGAAUAGUUUUUUGUUUGUCUGUUUGUUUGUUUUAGACAGAGUCUCGCUGUGUCGCCCAGGCUGGAGUGGAGUGCAGUGCUACCGCAAUCUCGGCUCACCGCAACCUCCGCCUCCUGCAUUCAAGCAAUUCCCCUGCCUCAGGCUCCUGAGUAGCUGGGAUUACAGCCAUGCACCACCAUGCCCAGCUCAUUUUUGUAUUUUUAGGAGAGAUGGGGUUUCACCAUGUUGGCCAGGCUGGUCUUGAACUCCUGACCGCAGGUGAUCUGCCCACUUCAGCCUCCCAAAGUGCUGGGAUUACAGGCGUGAGCCACCAUGCCCGGCCUGAAUAGUUUUAAACACAUAACAUCCAUAUAUAAAAGUACAUGCACAGAACAUCAGAAUGGAGGUGCUGUCUCUGGGGAAGAGAGCUAGGGGACCAGGGAUUCUGGAGAGGUUAGAGGGAGAGACACCAUCUUUAGUGUUCUGAAUUUGCCCCGUGUGUGUAUCACUUAGAACAAAAGGAACAAAAGGCAGACAGAGAAAAAGAUGAUGUCUCAGACCACCCAGACAGAAUGAAUGAAACCCCACAGCGGCUAAUCCAACCGUUCUCUCUCCUCCUCCUGGACUGUGUCCCAAGGUCUUAACUGAUCCCCAGGGCCCUGUCACACAGUAGGCCCUCAGGAAGUUUAAUUGGGAACAAUUAAAGAAACAAAGGCCUUCUCUGCUUGUGCCAACACUCCUUUCCCCCUCCCCCCAAUGAAUACAUACACUCAUACACAAAACUAAUUGUCACCAAACUAGAAAUGCCUUAGAAAACUCUCCCUCUCCACUGGGGAAACUUGCGUGUCACUG
rnacentral:lncRNA from 10 species